CGACCUCAAUUUAAGCGAGAAUACCCGCUGAACUUAAGCAUAUCAGUAAGCGGAGGAAAAGAAACUAACUAGGAUUC
rnacentral:rRNA from 1 species